rnacentral:misc_RNA from 1 species
GUGAAUCAUCAAAUCUUUGAACGCAAAUUGCACUCUCUGGUUUUCCGGGAGAGUAUGCUUGUUUGAGGGUCUGUUUAAAAAAUAAUCGAGGCUGCUGCUGUGGUGGCGUUUCGGAAUUGGGCCAUCUUCCACCUUUAGGGGUUGUAAGCGACCUAAAAUUUUUCUUACGAUCUCUACGAACGUGUCUAAGAAUUCCUUGUACGUUCGAGACAACGAAAUAAUAUUAGGGGCGACA